rnacentral:lncRNA from 12 species
AAAGGAAGAAAAGUGAAACAGUAAGGUAGACUCAGAUUACACAAGCUGGUAUCAUAGGAAGGAGAGAAAAUGUUUUAACAAACUGUUUUCUAUAGUUUCAGAACAUUGCUAUAUCCAGCGUUGGCCAAACUGGAGGAAGCCGGUCACACCCAGACUCUCUCGGAUCACAACCGGAAGCUGGACCAAGUACCAGACGCGUGUCUUAAGGCGAGCCCCGAUGGAGCGUGGAUGUCUGUCCCCUUCGGAGAACGCUCUUUGGUAAAUGAAAGACAACCACCGUCUAUCCAACGUAGGUGCUCAGAAAUGCAGGUAAGAGGAACAUCUUCCCUGCUGGUUUCAUCUUGUGUAUACAUGAACUACCAUAGCAACGAUUUCUGUCAUCCUUGUUACUGAUCUGGAGUCAAAGAUACCAGAGAGCCUCUUGAGAAAAUGUGUGGUAGGAAGAAGUGUGGAUCCUGCAAAAAAAAAAAAUGUGAGUCCUGCAUUGCUUGAGGUCAACCAAAGAUCCUGGCAAAUGGCUAUUAUUUCCAACAACCAAAAUAUCUCUGCAUAAAUCAUAUAUAAAGAAUGUCCCCCAAAAAUGUUCAGCUUCAGAUAAAAGUGGGCUUUUAACAAAAGACAGUGUUUUCUUAAAAAACUGAGCCUGGAAUGAUUACAAAACCCAACUGGAAGAAUGACAUUAAUAAGAAAUCAGCCGUAGCUAAGGAGCAAAACAGGUAUUUAUGUUUCAAAGUAUCUUAGAGCUCAGAUUAGGAAAAUUAGCAAAAUGAGAUUAAGUCAUGUGGGAAGAGAAGAAGGAAACGGCCUACGGCAUCCCUAGUCUGAGCCAGUCACUGAACUCGUGUGUGUGUAUGUGUGUGUGUGUGUGUGUGUGUGUUCCUAUUUUAUCAUUACAAUAAUUCUAUUGAAUCCUUUGAAAUAGCCCCUGACUCACCCUCUUCCUACUCCCAUCUUUCUUUGUACCUAACAGCUAUAAUAAUUGGUUUAUAAAUGGAGGCAUAAUUACUCGCCUAGUUGGAACUCUUCAGUGGCUUCCCAUCUCACUUCAGAAAUACACAAAAUGUGUAACAUGCCCACAGGACUCCCUAUAACCUAGCCUGGGUCUACCUCUGAAGCCCCGUCAGGUGCCACCCACUCCCCUGCUCCCCGUGCUUUCAACAUAUCAGCCUCCUUCCAGUUCCUUGCCCAUGCUACUUUCUUUCUUGUCUGCAGGUCUUUGCAGAUGCUAAGAUGCCCUUAUUCCAGCUUGCUGGCUAGUUUCAAUUUAAAUGUCAGAUCUGGGAAAUUUCCCUUGGUUGCACACUUGAUUUCUCCUACUUUUUCGUAAAACCUAUCCUUUCCUUUGCCGUGAGUCCUUGGUAUUUUCAAUUAGUUACUGGUGUGCUUGUGAAUUCAUAAUUUUCCAAUAAGCUUCUAAGCUCAUUUAGGUGUGGAAUUGUGUCUGCUUGUUCCUUUCUCAAUUCCCAGGACCAAGCAGAGCUCCAGGAGCAUAUAAACCAUUCAAUAAAUACUUAAAUAAAAGAGACA